rnacentral:rRNA from 1 species
AUUGAACGCUGGCGGCGUGCCUAACACAUGCAAGUCGAGCGGUAACAGGUGUAGCAAUACAUGCUGACGAGCGGCGAACGGGUGAGUAAUGCUUCGGAAUCUGCCCAUGUAGUGGGGAAUAACCAGCCGAAAGGUUGGCUAAUACCGCAUACGACCCUUGCCCACAAGGCAAAGGUGAAAGCAGGGGAUCGCAAGACCUUGCGCUAUUGGAUGAGCCGAAGUCGGAUUAGCUAGUUGGUAGGGUAACGGCCUACCAAGGCGACGAUCCGUAGCUGGUCUGAGAGGACGACCGGCCACACUGGGACUGAGACACGGCCCAGACUCCUACGGGAGGCAGCAGCUAAGAAUCUUGCGCAAUGAGCGAAAGCUUGACGCAGCAACGCCGCGUGGAGGACGAAGGCCCUCGGGUCGUAAACUCCUUUUGUGAGGGAAGAAGAUCUGACGGUACCUCACGAAUAAGCCACGGCUAACU